UUAGUUAUAUAAAAAAAAUGGAUCUGAUAUCAGAUCCAUCGGAUCCAUUGGAUCCAUCGGAUCCAUCAGAUCCAUUUUUUUUUUAUAUAACUAAUU
rnacentral:miRNA from 1 species